GUGGGGAAUAUUGGACAAUGGGCGAAAGCCUGAUCCAGCCAUGCCGCGUGUGUGAAGAAGGUCUUCGGAUUGUAAAGCACUUUAAGUUGGGAGGAAGGGCAGUAAGUUAAUACCUUGCUGUUUUGACGUUACCGACAGAAUAAGCACCGGCUAACUUCGUGCCAGCAGCCGCGGUAAUACGAAGGGUGCAAGCGUUAAUCGGAAUUACUGGGCGUAAAGCGCGCGUAGGUGGUUUUGUAAGUUGGAGGUGAAAUCCCCGGGCUCAACCUGGGAACUGCCUCCAAAACUGCUGAGCUAGAGUACGGUAGAGGGUGGUGGAAUUUCCUGUGUAGCGGUGAAAUGCGUAGAUAUAGGAAGGAACACCAGUGGCGAAGGCGACCACCUGGACUGAUACUGACACUGAGGUGCGAAAGCGUGGGGAGCAAACAGGAUUAGAAACCCCUGUAGUCC
rnacentral:rRNA from 1 species